AGAAUCAACGCUGGCGGCGUGCCUAACACAUGCAAGUCGCACGAGAAAGGGUAGCAAUACCUGAGUACAGUGGCGCACGGGUGAGUAACACGUGAAUCAUCUACCUUCGAGUGGGGAAUAACUGAGAGAAAUCUUAGCUAAUACCGCAUAACACUUACGAGUCAAAGCAGCAAUGCGCUUGAAGAGGAGUUCGCGGCAGAUUAGUUAGUUGGCAGGGUAAUGGCCUACCAAGACGAUGAUCUGUAUCCGGCCUGAGAGGGGCGCGACGGAACGACGACUAGGAACGUGAACACGGUCCAGACUCCUACGGGAGGCAGCAGUGGGGAAUUUUGCGCAAUGGGGGAACCCUGACGCAGCAACGCCGCGUGGAGGAUGAAGUCCCUUGGGACGUAAACUCCUUUCGAUCGGGACGAUAAUGACGGUACCGGAAGAAGAAGCCCGGCUAACUUCGUGCCAGCAGCCGC
rnacentral:rRNA from 1 species